ACUCUUUCCCUACACGACGCUAUUCCCACCUAAUUUGGUUUUGAGUUCCUGAAUCUUUCUGUCCUUUAAAUCUAUUUGGUUUUGCUUUCUCUUUAAGGCUUGAUUAACUACACAUUUGGGAG